rnacentral:rRNA from 1 species
ACUCAAAUGAAUUGACGGGGACCCGCACAAGCAGCGGAGCAUGUGGUUUAAUUCGAAGCAACGCGAAGAACCUUACCAAGGUUUGACAUCCUCUGACCGCCCAAGAGAUUGGGUUUUCACAGCAAUGUGACAGAGAGACAGGUGGUGCACGGUUGUCGUCAGCUCGUGUCGUGAGAUGUUGGGUUAAGUCCCGCAACGAGCGCAACCCUUAUGAAUAGUUGCCAAUAUUAAGUUAGGAACUCUAUUCAGACUGCCGUCGAUAAGACGGAGGAAGGUGGGGAUGACGUCAAAUCAUCACGCCCCUUACAUCUUGGGCUACACACGUGCUACAAUGGCUGUAACAAAGAGAGGCAAUAUAGCAAUAUGGAGCAAAUCUCAAAAAAACAGUCUCAGUUCAGAUUGUGGGCUGCAACUCGCCCGCAUGAAGUAGGAGUUGCUAGUAAUCGCGAAUCAGCACGUCGCGGUGAAUGCGUUCCCGGGUCUUGCACACACCGCCCGU